GAGUUGAUGGCUUCCUGGUAGAGUGCAUGCUUUGUAUGUAUGAUGUCCUGGGUUCAAUCCCCAGCUGGUAAA